rnacentral:rRNA from 1 species
UACGAAGGGGGCUAGCGUUGUUCGGAAUUACUGGGCGUAAAGGGCGCGCAGGCGGCCCUCCAAGUCAGGCGUGAAAGCCCUGGGCUCAACCCGGGAAUUGCGCUUGAGACUGGUGUGCUUGAGUACGGGAGAGGAUAGUGGAAUUCCCAGUGUAGAGAUGAAAUUCGUAGAUAUUGGGAAGAACACCGGUGGCGAAGGCGGCUAUCUGGACCGUAACUGACGCUGAGGCGCGAAAGCGUGGGGAGCAAACAGG